AGUGAACGCUGGCGGCAGGCCUAACACAUGCAAGUCGAACGGCCGCACAGUAAGAGCUUGCUCCUACGGGUGGCGAGUGGCGGACGGGUGAGGAAUACAUCGGAAUCUACUUUUUCGUGGGGGAUAACGGAGGGAAACUUACGCUAAUACCGCAUACGACCUACGGGUGAAAGCAGGGGAUCUUCGGACCUUGCGCGAUUGAAUGAGCCGAUGUCGGAUUAGCUAGUUGGCGGGGUAAAGGCCCACCAAGGCGACGAUCCGUAGCUGGUCUGAGAGGAUGAUCAGCCACACUGGAACUGAGACACGGUCCAGACUCCUACGGGAGGCAGCAGUGGGGAAUAUUGGACAAUGGGCGCAAGCCUGAUCCAGCCAUACCGCGUGAGUGAAGAAGGCCUUCGGGUUGUAAAGCCCUGUUGUUGGGAAAGAAAAAAAGCAGGUUAAUACCCCGCUGUUUUGACGGUACCCAAAGAAUAAGCACCGGCUAACUUCGUG
rnacentral:rRNA from 1 species